rnacentral:rRNA from 1 species
GACGAACGCUGGCGGCGUGCUUAACACAUGCAAGUCGAACGGAAAGGCCCUUCGGGGUCCUCGAGUGGCGAACGGGUGAGUAACACGUGGGUGAUCUGCCCUGCACUUUGGGAUAAGCCUGGGAAACUGGGUCUAAUACCGAAUAGGACCACGCGCUUCAUGGUGUGUGGUGGAAAGCUUUUGCGGUGUGGGAUGGGCCCGCGGCCUAUCAGCUUGUUGGUGGGGUAAUGGCCUACCAAGGCGACGACGGGUAGCCGGCCUGAGAGGGUGACCGGCCACACUGGGACGGGGAUACGGCCCGGACUCCUACGGGAGGCAGCAGUGGGGAAUAUUGCACAAUGGGCGGAAGCCUGAUGCAGCGACGCCGCGUGGGGGAUGACGGCCUUCGGGUUGUAAACCUCUUUCACCAGGGACGAAGCGUAAGUGACGGUACCUGGAGAAGAAGCACCGGCCAACUACGUG